rnacentral:rRNA from 1 species
AUUGAACGCUGGCGGCAGGCCUAACACAUGCAAGUCGAACGAGUGGCGGACGGGUGAGUAAUGUCUGGGAAACUGCCUGAUGGAGGGGGAUAACUACUGGAAACGGUAGCUAAUACCGCAUACCAUCAGAGGUGCCCAGAUGGGAUUAGCUUGUGGGUGGGGUAAAGGCUAACCCAGGCGACGAUCUCUAGCUGGUCUGAGAGGAUGACCAGCUACACUGGUACUGAGCCACGGGCCAGGAUCCUGCGGGAGGCAGCAGUGGGGAAUAUUGCACAAUGGGCGCAAGCCUGAUGCAGCCAUGCCGCGUGUAUGAAGAAGGCCUUAGGGUUGUAAAGUACUUUCAGCGUGGAGGCGUUACCCGCAGAAGAAGCACCGGCUAACUCCGUGCCAGCAGCCGCGGUAAUAC